rnacentral:lncRNA from 1 species
UAAUAUGAUAAUUUAUGAUCCCAAAUUUCAUCUCGUAUGAAUAUUAUAAAUAUUAUGGAUACCAAUAACCCUAAAAACGGAACGGUUAUGAAUAUACCCAAAUAUCCGCUACUAAGAUAGAUGGCCUAAGAAGCAAGCUAGUAAAAGACAGAUCCAAACCCUAGGUAGCUGAAUAAAAAAAUCCCAGAAAAUAAAAUCAGAACUUCAUCAAACAAAGAUAUGAUAAGAAGAUAAAACUUAAUUCAUGGGCUGAAAUUAAAUACGAAUACAAGGACAUCUUAUCAAGGGUACAACAGCCAUAUGUUAUUCUAUCGAAAUAUAUAAGCACCCGUACGCCUAAACAACCUGCAACAUGUAUAUAUACUAGCUAGCCAUAAGCCAUGCAUGCAUAUAUAAUACUAAAGCCUACUAGUACUAAUAUGAAAUAAACUCGCUAGUUUAGGGUUUCAAACAGGCCUGUAUAUAAUUAGGGUUUGUGUGUGUGUUUGUGUGUAUGCUAAUGCAGAAUUGAUUAAGCUGCUGGAGCAUAGUAUCCACCUCCAUCAUCAUCGUCAUCAUCAUCAUCGUCACCAUCACUUUCGCUGCUGAGAAGGUAGGUCCUGAAGGAAACAUCAUCUUCACGAUCUACAUGAUGAUGAUCUGCUGCAAACCCUAACAAGUGAAUAUUGGAGUACUUGACCAGAACUAACACCUCCAUAGGUAUAUUUGUCUAAGAAGUUAAUUAUCACUUCAAAGUGGGAGUGGGAGUGAUGAUCGAUCAGUAUGUUGUUGAUCAAUAUUUUGGUGAAGAAGUGAAUUAAGAAGAGGUUUUGAUGAAGGAAAGGGUACAAUAAGUGAG